rnacentral:rRNA from 1 species
CUCAGGAUGAACGCUGGCGGCGUGCCUAAUACAUGCAAGUCGAGCGCGAAGAUCAGGAGCUUGCUCCUGUGAUUUGAGCGGCGGACGGGUGAGUAACACGUAGGCAACCUACCCUUGAGAUUGGGAUAACUACCGGAAACGGUAGCUAAUACCGGAUACGACUUUUCCACAUAAGUGGAAUGGUUAAAAGGCGGAUUUAUCUGCCGCUCAUGGAUGGGCCUGCGGUGCAUUAGCUAGUUGGUGAGAUAGUAGCUCACCAAGGCGACGAUGCAUAGCCGACCUGAGAGGGUGAUCGGCCACACUGGGACUGAGACACGGCCCAGACUCCUACGGGAGGCAGCAGUAGGGAAUCUUCCGCAAUGGACGAAAGUCUGACGGAGCAACGCCGCGUGAGUGAUGAAGGGUUUCGGCUCGUAAAACUCUGUUGUUAAGGAAGAACACUUGAGGUAGUAACUGGCCUUGAGAUGACGGUACUUAACCAGAAAGCCACGGCUAACUACGUGCCAGCAGCCGCGGUAAUACGUAGGUGGCAAGCGUUAUCCGGAAUUAUUGGGCGUAAAGCGCGCGUAGGCGGUAAAAUAAGUCUGAUGUGAAAGCCCCCGGCUCAACCGGGGAGGGUCAUUGGAAACUGUUUUACUUGAGUACAGAAGAGGAGAGUGGAAUUCCAUGUGUAGCGGUGAAAUGCGCAGAGAUAUGGAGGAACACCAGUGGCGAAGGCGGCUCUCUGGUC